UUGAGUUGUGUGGUACAUUGCUUUCUAGGCUCUUUUACGAGAGCAGCCAUAUUUUUACACACCUAAAUUUCGUCGCCAAGCGCAAGGAUAAGAAAAAACUCUUUUUCACCGAGAUAGAGGACUGUGGACGGGGUCGUGAAGAGAUCUUGAAAGUACGCUGUUGCGUUCCCCUGGAUUCAUUAUGUGAAGGUGGUUAUUAUUACUAGUGUGAUGAUCCUAGACGUGGCUGUAGGAAAGGGUUUGACUUCACACGUUGCUACGGCUGCAGCGAGUUCCUGAAACAUCCGGUUGAUGGCUCCACCUACUCAGGAGGCCAUGACCAUCGGAGGAGGAACUAUAUAGUUUAGAACGUUGUUUCAUUUAUCAGCGGUGGAGCCUCAUGGUCAUGGAGGUCCAUACCGGACCUUGCAGCAACGGGGUGACAGUGAGCCCCAUCGUUAAUUAAUUAAUUCACUGUGGAUUCGUACACUUGUGACACAUUUUUUUCUUUUAUUUCUAAAUAUAAGAUGUCUUUGACAAACAAGACGUCUUAUAUUUAGAAAAAUGUAGUACUUUACAUUAAUGUCCGCUGCAAGCUCGUGGUGCGUACUCUGAUGUAGUACUAGAGGCUGGGGCGCCACCUGGUGGCGCCACCUGAGCGGGCAUGUGCACACUUAUCUUGUCUGGACACUUUCAGUUGUCAUGUUUGGCCAUCAAUUUCAUUUAUUUGAGUUCAUUAGGAUCUAUUGGUAGCACAUCAAUCAAAGUACAUAUACUGUAUUAUUUGAGUUCAGAACCAUCACAAGUAAUGAUACAUCUAAUGAGGAUAUAUUACAGUUAAUCCAAAAGCAAAGACAGGCCAACACCAAGUGCUUCAGUUUGGCUGAAGAAAGGGACUUCAUGACUAAGGAACCAAAUAAAACAUAACACCUUUAUGAGUACUCUAUAGGCCUGGCGUCAUCCAUUUCCACAUCAGAAUCAGCAUGAUGUUCAUCUUGAUGUACCCAACACAAAUGCUACAUGGAUUUUAGUCAGCUACACUCCCCACUACUUCUGCACUUCCCCUUGCACACACCGAGGAGCAGCGACUGAUGCAAGUUGAUGCAACCCAGAAUAAAGUACAAUUGCCUAGUGAAAGGCAACAUACCUAGCAUGCACAUGGAAAGUGAGAGUAGCAAUAAAAGAACAUACCAUUUACCGUUAUGAUUAUUACUGCACGCCAAAUUGGUCCAUUUUGAUUAUUAUUGCAAGCCAAUAUUCUUAAUCACUCUGCGCAAAUUUAA